rnacentral:rRNA from 1 species
AAUGAACGCUGGCGGCAUGCCUAACACAUGCAAGUCGAACGAAGGCUUCGGCCUUAGUGGCGCACGGGUGCGUAACGCGUGGGAAUCUGCCCUUGGGUUCGGAAUAACAGUUAGAAAUGACUGCUAAUACCGGAUGAUGUCGUAAGACCAAAGAUUUAUCGCCCAAGGAUGAGCCCGCGUAGGAUUAGCUAGUUGGUGAGGUAAAGGCUCACCAAGGCGACGAUCCUUAGCUGGUCUGAGAGGAUGAUCAGCCACACUGGGACUGAGACACGGCCCAGACUCCUACGGGAGGCAGCAGUGGGGAAUAUUGGACAAUGGGCGAAAGCCUGAUCCAGCAAUGCCGCGUGAGUGAUGAAGGCCUUAGGGUUGUAAAGCUCUUUUACCCGGGAUGAUAAUGACAGUACCGGGAGAAUAAGCUCCGGCUAACUUCGUGCCAGCCGCCGCCGUAACAC